rnacentral:rRNA from 1 species
CCGUACCCAUCCCGAACACGGAAGAUAAGCUCACCAGCGUUUCGGGGAGUACUGGAGUGGGCGACCCUCUGGGAAAUCCGAUUCGCCGCCACCA